AAAGACGUAGACAUCUUUGAGGGGCCUCUAUUCUGCCUAUCAUGCAUAGGUUUCCUUAUUAGUCUACAUGAUAGCCAUAUGAGGUAUGUAUUCUGAUAUGGCUGGGCUCUGUGUCCCAACCCCAAUCUCAUCUCGAAUUGUAAUCCCCACGUGUCAAGGGAGAGAGGUAACUAGAUCACGAGGGCAGUUUCUCCCAUGCUGUUCUUGUGAUAGUGAUUGAGUUCUCUCAGGGUCUGCUGGUUUUAUAAGUGUUUGUGAGUUCCUCUUUUAUUCUCUCUCCUGCCUCCUCGUGAAGGUGAAUGCUUCCCCUUCCACCAUGACUGUAAGUUUCCUGAGGCUUCCCCCACCAUGCAGAACGAAGAACCCUGGUUUUAUUCUGGCAUCCAGCCAUAAGGAAGGUGACCUUGUCACAGUGAUAUGCAGGUGGUUUGAAAGAAUCCAAAUCCCAGCUUGAGCUACAAUGUCUGAACCAGACCCGUCAGCUGUCAGCCAGCCAGCCCUGUAAUUGAACAUCAGCAGAGGGAAAUGUGUGCUCUCAGCUCCUCUCUGCUCUCAGCCUGGUUCUGCACCAUGGAGAAUAGGCCUGGAAGUCACAUCACCUGCACUUCCUCAUGGAGUCUCACUGAUUAUAAAAAAGAACAAGCACCCCUCUGGGUUUUGUCUCAGCCAGUUUAACCAAAGGAAAUGAUUAAUGCCGAUUAGUCGAAAAAGGCUGUGUCUUUCUUAAGACCCUUCCCAGCUAUUCAUGAGCACACGUUUAGCUUGAUAGCGUAAAGAUUAGUAAGGGCCGUAACAGCAGAGAUGUUACUGGCAGGUAAAGUACCUAAAAACUACAUCAAAAGAGAAGAAAGGGCUGGGUGCAGUGGCUCACACCUGUAAUCCCAGCACUUUGGGAGGCCAAGGCAGGUGGAUCACCUGAGGUUAGCAGUUCAAGACCAGCCUGGCCAACAUGGUGAAACCCCAUCUCUACUAAAAAUACAAAAACUAGCUGGGCGUUGUGGUGUGCACCUGUAAUCCCAGCUACUCCAGGAGGCUGAGGCAGGAGAAUUGCUUGAACCAGGGAGGUGGAGCUUGCAGUGAGCCAAAAUCGUGCCAUUGCACUCCAUCCUGGGCAACACAGCAAGACUCCAUCUCAAACCAAAAACAAAAAAAAAAAGAGCGAGAGAGAAGAAAGGAGUACUUAAAUCGUGCUAGGUGGAAGGAACUGAGCAGCCUAGACACUCAGCCUCUUAAGGCAAGUAGGGAGUGGGGUGUGGGUACAUGCAGGAUAUUAGGGCUGUAGUCUUGGCCCACUGGGUGGCUUGGGGCCAGUUCCUUCAAUAUUAUAAUCUCAAUUUCCCAGGAAGGGAGAUGCAAGGAUUUUAAACACUAUUAAGUUGAAUGCUCUCAACUCUGACUCCGUGGUAAAAAAAAAUCCCCUGGACAGUUUCUGAAAGAGGUAUGGGGUAGUGGAGCGGUGAGGGGGAGGCGGGGAUGGUUAAUGGGUUAAAAAAAAAAAAAAAGUUAAAAUGAAUAAGGCCUAGUAUUUGAUAGCACAACAGGGUGACAAUAGUCAAUAAUAAUCUAAUUAUACACUUAAAAAUAACUAUAAUUGGAUCAUUUGUACACAAAGGAUAAAUGCCUGAGGGGAUGGAUACCCUAAUCCUCCAUGAUGUGAUUAUUACACAUUGCAUGCCUGUAUCAAAACAUCUUAUGUACCCCCAUAAAUAUAUACAACUACUAUGUACCCACAAAAAUUAAAAACUAAAAAUUAAAUAAAUAAAAUCCCAUAAGCU
rnacentral:lncRNA from 10 species